UUUUUUUUGUUCGAUUUUGUUGGUACAAUAUCUAAUUGAAUUGACUUCAAUUUGAAUGAACUAAUUUAAAAAAUCAACCGAACCCCAUCUAAACAAACAAAGAUCAAAUAUGUACCAUAGUGGUUAACUAGUUCGAUCUGGAUUCUAGCCAUUUGCAUGCCUUGUUCUAAGAUCUAUAUAGAAAGCCACAAAAUGCUUCAAAUUAACUAUAUAUACCAUCUUGCAACCCAGCGGUAUGAAGACCUUUUUGUGGACAUGAGUCAACCAAGACAAGUUAGGAGAAUAAUUAUUUAUUAGAAAUAUAAUUGUGUUUUCUAAUUUAGUUAGGAGUUCUUUAUUAUUCCUUGUAUCACAAGAUAUAUUUCCUAUAUAAUGCCUCCUAAAGGGAGAAGAAUAAGAUAACGAUUAAACCCUAAACACAUAUACUUUUAUUUUAGCAUUAAAGCAGGUUUCGACUUUUCUCUUCCUCUAAACUCUAUUCUUGUUCACUGCCGACUUGGGUGCUUUUCUGUUGGCUGUUUAGCAGCUGUUUGGAACCAAUCACAGAAGUCUUGAAACAAGAAACCUCUGUUAAAAUCCCAAACCCAGGUCUCGAAACAAGAGACCAGACCUCUGUUAAAACCCAAACCUAGAAAAUUAAAACUUAAACCACAACUUGCCGCUUUAAUGACAGACAACCAAACUGUCGUCCCCAUCGUGGGAUGCUUGCAUAA
rnacentral:lncRNA from 1 species